rnacentral:SRP_RNA from 3 species
ACGGUGGACCCCGCGCGGCGUCUAUCCUGUGAACUCCCCCAGGGCUGGAAGGCAGCAAGGGUCAACGGGCUCUGUCGGGUGCGCGGGGUCCCCUUCAGCCGGGGCA